AUGAACGCUGGCGGCGUGCCUAAUACCUGUAAGUCGAGCGAACAGAUGAGGAGCUUGCUCCUCUGACGUUAGCGGCGGACGGGUGAGUAACACGUGGAUAACCUACCUAUAGGACUGGGAUAACUUCGGGAAACCGGAGCUAAUACCGGAUAAUAUAUUGAACCGCAUGGUUCAAUAGUGAAAGACGGUUUUGCUGUCACUUAUAGAUGGAUCCGCGCCGCAUUAGCUAGUUGGUAAGGUAACGGCUUACCAAGGCAACGAUGCGUAGCCGACCUGAGAGGGUGAUCGGCCACACUGGAACUGAGACACGGUCCAGACUCCUACGGGAGGCAGCAGUAGGGAAUCUUCCGCAAUGGGCGAAAGCCUGACGGAGCAACGCCGCGUGAGUGAUGAAGGUCUUCGGAUCGUAAAACUCUGUUAUUAGGGAAGAACAAAUGUGUAAGUAACUAUGCACGUCUUGACGGUACCUAAUCAGAAAGCCACGGCUAACUACGUG
rnacentral:rRNA from 1 species